rnacentral:lncRNA from 10 species
GUAGCGAUUGGAGGCUCAGGAAGGGAAUUCAUUGCCCAAGGUUGAACACUCAGUGGGAGAAGCAGGCCAGGACACAAGCAGGAGGGGCUCCAAAGCUGAGUUUGUUGCUGCAGAGCCUUUCCUGAGGUUGGGGAGGGUGUCUGCAGAAGGAGGCUGGAGACUGCUGUAGAAUCACUACUACUGGUGACAUCGUUGUUCUUCUCUGACCUGACCCCUGAGUUGGUCAGACUUGGCCAUGUGGACAACCCCCUGCUUCUCCCACUCUCUGCUGCCCUAACCUGAGACUGGUUAUUCAAGUGUCUUCCUCACUGUCUCCCCCAAACAGGAAGUAUUUUUUGAUGCUCUUGCAUCUGGGGCUGACCCAACACUGCUCAUCCCAUGUGGUCAUUGCUGGCUUACAGGUCAGUCUGGCCCUUGCAUUCGAUGUUCUGUAAGGACAGAGCUCAUGGUGCUGGCUCUGAGAAGGAAACAGGAAGUGGCAGAUGGAAGGGUGGUUUUUCUUCCCAGGGUCUCCCCAAGAGCUGCUUCCUUUGACUCCUGCUGUGUGUAGUUCUGCUGACAAUGACCUGGACAGCUCUGCGCCAUGCACAGCGUCUCUUUUCUCCGACUUACCAAAUUUUAGACACUACUGACUCCUCCAUGUGAAAGAUGGGAAUUCAGCUACAUCACAUUACCCUACAAACUUUAUUGUUAAUAUUUCUUCCCGGUCAGCCCCAAACACUGAAUGUAAAUACGGUCCAACAUCAACCUGCAAACGAACACUGACAUGAAAGUGCAGUUGGAAAGGAUCUCGCAAAGGAACAGAAUCUGGUGAUCCUAAUCGUAAUGAACGUGAUCGCCGGGUAUUGAGAGCUUGCAGGUACCAGGGCUCCGGCACUACGUGUUUCACAGGGGCCACUCGGUAGACCUCUUGGUGACCUUGAGGUCAGGUACCACGUUCCCAUUUUACAGAGGAGGAAACUGAGAUAACCUACGACAGCGAAAAGGUAGCAGAGCUGGGACUGGUGCCCAGGCUCGCCGAGUGGAAAAGCCCUCGGCCACCGUGGAGAGCUCGCUUCCUGUGGUCUGAAGCGUCGCCCCUGCACCGGCUUCUGCUGCCAAGGAUGGCUUUUCCUCACUGGUGCCCACCUACGCUCACUUGUGUCAUGUGGUUAAGCCCUUUUGGCAACAUAAGACCUUUCCCAAGAAUGUGCCUCGGUGCAGAGGAAGACGGUGGGGGCAGGCCCCCUCCCCGGGAUGCUCCACCCUCCCUGACCUCACACGGGUGCAACCUGGGCCGUGGCCGAGACCUGCUGUGUGGCAGACAAUGGGAAGCCUGUGUGUCGUCCUGGGUGCCGGAUUUAGACAAUAUUUAGCUUUCCCUUGGUGGAAAAGCCUUUCCCCUCCUGCUUUGGGCAGGAACUGGUUCCUGUUGGGCGGGGCCUGGCUGCUGCCCCACCCCCACCCGGCCGGGCACCUUGACCGGCAGCUCUCCGGGCUGCUCCCUGCCUGUGUCCCUGAGCACUGACUCCAGAGGUUUAAUCAUUAACGGGCACGUUUGGCCUUCGGUCGUGGGCUGGAAUUUGGGACCUGUGCCCGGGAACAAUGAUCUCCGACACAUUAUUUUGUGUAAAAUCACUUUUAGCUGCCAUUAGCUAAUAAAGCUGGAAUAAAGUGAGGUCCAUUAACCAGCA